CAAGCGUUGUUCGGAGUUACUGGGCGUAAAGGGUGUGUAGGCGGUUCUUUAAGUUUGGUGUGAAAUCUCCCGGCUCAACCGGGAGGGUGCGCCGAAAACUGAAGGGCUAGAGUGCGGGAGAGGAGAGUGGAAUUCCUGGUGUAGCGGUGAAAUGCGUAGAUAUCAGGAGGAACACCGGUGGUGUAAACGGCUCGUUGGACCGUAACUGACGCUGAGACACGAAAGCGUGGGUAGCAAACAGG
rnacentral:rRNA from 1 species